rnacentral:ncRNA from 1 species
GGGGUAGAGGCGCGGUAUUUAACAGUCUUUAGUAGAGUGAUAAGGCAUGAUGAGACUAAAGAGAAGGAAAUAUCGCCGAAAUGUGCUAUAUCCGAUUGUAUAGCAUGUUGGGUCUGCAGUGAAUAAUUGCAGGACUGUCUUAAUAAGCUUACCCGGUUUAUUAAGGUGCACUA